UACGAAGGGUGCAAGCGUUACUCGGAAUUACUGGGCGUAAAGCGCGCGUAGGCGGCUCGAUCAGUCUGCUGUGAAAGUCAAAGGCUCAACCUUUGAAUGCCGGUGGAUACUGUCGAGCUAGAGUCCGGAAGAGGCGGGUGGAAUUCCUGGUGUAGCGGUGGAAUGCGCAGAUAUCAGGAGGAACACCAACGGCGAAGGCAGCCCGCUGGGACGGUACUGACGCUAAGGCGCGAAAGCGUGGGGAGCGAACAGG
rnacentral:rRNA from 1 species